CUAGUCCCCACGCCAGUGCUCUUCCUGCUCUAAUAUGUUCACUGUCUCUUCUGUGGGGAGAGUGGAAACUUCUUUUUUUAAGAAUGUCAGAUUUCAAGUUCUGAAUGUGCAAUUUACUUUCUGAUGAAUACUCUCCUCUGAAGGAAAUGUCUGGGGUGGUGGACAUUCCAAGCAAUCAGAGAAUGGAUGCGGCAAUAUGAACUCCUAGGUGCUUCCAGCCAACUUGGCCUGCUGCCUGGUGCUCCUUCAUCUGAUUGUGUCUACCAUUGCCAAGGGAGUUAUGGAAGAAUUUCUGGAAGAGGCUUCAGUUCAACACAACUCUCCAGAUGGGUCAAUGACUACCUCAACUCCUGGGAACAAUCAAAGCAUGAGAAUGUGGCUCUGACCUGCUUGUCCUGGAGUAUACUGUGGUGUCAAAGACAGAGUGCCAUGAAAUUUCUGAGAGAGUUUCCUGUUUCCAAGUUACAACAAGGCUCCCAUAAUAAGAGAUAUACUUGGCCCACUCAAAUCAGAGUUUCUUUCAAGGCUUGGAAAGGACAACUCAUCUGCAAUUAGGGCUGAGCCGCUGUGCUUAGUGCUAUGAGGAAAAGGAAGGAUACGAUGCAGAGGAAGUCCCUUCUAGGGAGGAAGAAAAAGAAAUAAGUCUCCUCCUUUCCAGAGGAAGAUACUCAAGUUGGAUGUGCAACUCUUGCGGUGGAGCUUUGUGGGAGGAUGCUGGUGGAAACAGCUAGAGAGCACAAUGGACUUUCUAGGAAUAUUUUGUGGAUGCUAGUCCAGAGACUACUUCAGACUAUCCACCAGGUGGCGAAGACCAGUAGAAAAUAAUUCAUGAAUGCCAAGUACCCACAUUGUCAAGAAUACUUUCCCCUACGGACACUAUCUUGAGUAGAAAAACAAAGAAGGAAGAACAUCCCCAAUAGGGAGCUAACCUUUAAAUUGACAAAAUAUUUACCUGAACACAACUGUUCAAUACAGAAGUUAUUUUAAUGGGCAAGUUAAAGUGUCUCUUGUUCUGCCACUGAAUUGUACGCUUAAAAAAUAGUUAAAAUAUUAUGUGUAUUUCACCACAAUUGUUAAAAAUCAAAAAUUAAAUUCAAAAAGAAUGUCUCUUGUUCCUUUACCUACUUCCCACCCCAGUUAUAGGAAGUAAAGAAGCUAUAUUUCUUUGCAUAUCUAAUUACAACACAACUAAAAUUUAACCCUGAAUACUAGCCCCCCC
rnacentral:lncRNA from 1 species